rnacentral:rRNA from 1 species
AAYGACUCUCGGCAACGGAUAUCUYGGCUCUCGCAUCGAUGAAGAACGUAGCGAAAUGCGAUACUUGGUGUGAAUUGCAGAAUCCCGUGAACCAUCGAGUCUUUGAACGCAAGUUGCGCCCGAAGCCUUCUGGCCGAGGGCACGUCUGCCUGGGUGUCACGCAACGUCG